AAUAUUGCACAAUGGGCGCAAGCCUGAUGCAGCGACGCCGCGUGAGGGAUGACGGCCUUCGGGUUGUAAACCUCUGUUAGCAGGGAAGAAGAGAGAUUGACGGUACCUGCAGAGAAAGCGCCGGCUAACUACGUGCCAGCAGCCGCGGUAAUACGUAGGGCGCGAGCGUUGUCCGGAAUUAUUGGGCGUAAAGAGCUUGUAGGCGGUU
rnacentral:rRNA from 1 species